UACGAAGGGGGCUAGCGUUGCUCGGAAUCACUGGGCGUAAAGCGCACGUAGGCGGACUCUUAAGUCGGGGGGUGAAAUCCUGGAGCUCAACUCCAGAACUGCCUUCGAUACUGAGAGUCUUUGAGUCCGGGAGAGGUGAGUGGAACUGCGAGUGUAGAGGUGAAAUUCGUAGAUAUCGCAAGAACACCAGUGGCGAAGGCGGCUCACUGGCCCGG
rnacentral:rRNA from 1 species